UACGGAGGGUGCAAGCGUUAUCCGGAUUUACUGGGUUUAAAGCGUGCGCAGGCGGUCUUGCAAGACAGAUGUGAAAUCCCCGGGCUUAACCUGGGAACUGCAUUUGUGACUGCAAGGCUGGAGUGCGGCAGAGGGGGAUGGAAUUCCGCGUGUAGCAGUGAAAUGCGUAGAUAUGCGGAGGAACACCGAUGGCGAAGGCAAUCCCCUGGGCCUGCACUGACGCUCAUGCACGAAAGCGUGGGGAGCAAACAGG
rnacentral:rRNA from 1 species